GAUGAUCAUUUCAUCUACAUAUAAAGAUUUUGCUUCUGCUGUGCCAAUCGUAAGAAAAAAAAAAAAGAAUACAAAAAACAAUAAAUGCUGGCAAGGAUGCAAGGAAAAAAGAACCAUUCUACACUAUUGGUAGAAGUGUAAAUUAGUAAAGCCACUAUGGAAAUAUGGAUGUUCCUCAAAAAACUAAAACCAGAACUGUGAUAUGAUCCUGCUAUACCAUUCCUUGAUAUAUAUAUGAAGGAAUCAGUCAGCAAAGUACAGAGAUAUCUACAUAUCAAUAUUUACUGAAGAACAAUUCACAACAGGCAAGUUACGGAAUUAGCUCACAUGCCUAUCAAGAGAUGAAAUGAGUAAAGAAUAUAUACAAAUGAGUAAAGAUAUAUGUGUGUGUGUGUGUGUGUGUGUGUGUAUUAUUCAGCCAUAAAGAAUGAAAUCAUGUCAUUCAUGCCAUUUGCAGAAAAAUGGAUAGAACGGAAGAUCAUCAUAUAAAGCAAAAUAAGCCAGAUCCAGAAAGACAAGCAUCACAAAGUUUCUCUCAUCUGUGGAAUCUAGAAAGAAAGAAAAAAGAAACAACAACAAGAAAGUAGAAAGGAAACUAUUAGAGAAGAAGAUCAGUGAAGGGGAUACGGGAAAGUAGAAGGGCGUAAUGGGGGGAGAAUAUGAUCAAAGUAUGUUAAAUGUCAUGGUAAAACAUAUUAUUCUGUAUAAUUAAUAUGUGCUUCUGAAAAAGAAAGCUAUGGUUAGGGCCAGGGAUUUUAGCUCAGUGGCACUGUGCCUGCCUUGCAAGUGCAAGGUCCUUGAUAGAGUUCUCUACCCGACAAAAUGGCCCCAAUGGUACUACAUUCUAAAAUGGCUUCCAUUUCUAAAAUGGUUCCUGAUUCUGGAAAUGAGCCACUUCGGAAAAGUGAAACCUACCCCCCUUGGAGAAGCAAAACCUAACUUGUUGCUCCACCCUGCUACCCAUGUGAUCCUCCCCUUCCAAUCACCUGGGGUCCCAUUGCUCAACUCUCACAAUACUCUCCCCACUGCACUGCCCUAUAUAAACCUCACCCCAGUUAGUCUCGCUAUAUCGCCAUUGUUCAAGGCAGCCCUGCAGCUCCUUCCCCAAUAAAGCCCUGCUUGGGUGCUCCUGUUUCAGCUCGUUUUCUUUCAUUCUGGUGCCGAAACCCAGGGAGGUAGCAGUCGGGAUUUCACAAUGAUCCCUGCUGGUUGGAAUUGAUUGGCCUCCCAGCCAUCCUUCCCAGACCCUGCCGGAUGAGCACCUGACCAUGGGCCUUCACAUUUGCCAUUGCUGACAUCCUGAAUCCACACUGGUCCCUAAUCUCUGGGACCCACCAAGAUCAAGCUCACUCAAAUCCCUGAAGAAUAAAUAAUCCUACGUUGCCCCCUCAGCUGAUGUCUCACUUUUCUGACUGUAUCCUCAAGCUACAACAAGACCUUCAUUGGUUUGUCCCCCCACUCCCCAAGGUAACGAGAUUGAAGAGGUCCUCCUGUGGAUUGAGGACCACUGCUUUCAAGGCACCUUUUCGGAUUUCUCAUCAGAUGAGGUCUGCUUGUUAACAUUUUUUCUCUUAUGCUGGCUAAUGUUACCCCUACUUCACUUCCAUGACCUACUCUUAUGCUAACCUGCCAUCCAGGCUUUCUAGCCAUAUACAUAGCCCUGUCCCUUAUUUGGACAAUUAGACUCUUCUCUGUCUCACCCCUAGACUGGUCUUAUACAUGCAGAUACCUCUUCAUCCUUCUUUUCCUCCUCCUGAUGGGACUGAUUGCUAUCCCAUCAUGCUCCCCUUUCUUUACCCCUUAAUGAAGCCCCCUACUUGCAGGUCCUAAAGGCUGAUAAUUUCCCUUCUCAUCUUCAUUUCAAGCUGAGAGACACUGCCCAGUUGUGUACCUAACUGAAUGCUCUGGCAUAAUCUGGGUAAUAGAUCACAGGCUGGGGGGGUGUAAAACCUCUACAUGAUGGGACAAGCACUUUUGUGUCAUAUACCCAUAUGGACUCACGAUGUUACAAGGCCACAUCACUCUGUACUCACAGAGGCCAGACCUACCAUAUGGGAAAGAUUACAGACUCAGAUACUUAUCACUGCAAACCACAGAUGGGCUAGUGGGCUUGUUAGACAUUGACAACCCACUGGGGAAUAUCAGAUGGAGGGGGUAUACAAGAUCAGACACAAAAACAACAGCUGAAAGAGGUAGAAAAAUUCAUAUCACAAGCUCUGAAAACACCUCCCCCAUAUAAAAACAUUGAUCUGUCUUCACUAAAAAAUGCUGUUGAGACACAUAAAAGGCUCCUGCACCUCUUCAACACCACUCUGCUUAGCUUGACAGGCAACCAAACUGAGUGCUGGAUGUGCCUGUCACCCUGAUUCCAGCCAUAUGUCCCCAUACCAAUUCCCCUUAACUGGACUCUCCCUGCUCCCCAAAAUAUCACAAUACUAGGUCCCUUUGCAAUUCAAUUAAAACCCUCUACACAUGAUAACUGGACCUGUAUAAAUUCAUCCAUCAUAAAACAAUACAACUCUACCCCUUGUGCUAAAGUUAUCCAUAUUUCUACAUCAGGCAUAACCUGUCUCACUAAGGGUUUGUUUUACAUCUGCAACUCUGAAGCCUUUUGCUAUCUCAACUCAACCCCAUCCUCUCUCUGUUACCUAGGUUUCCUUAGCCCACCCCUCAUGAUUUAUACAGAAACUCAGUUAUUACAGCAAGCCUUGCCCUCACAACAGCCACCUAUCCAUCACUUCAACAAGUGUGCCCUUCCCACACUUCCUUUUGGUGGGAGCCGGUGUUCUGGCAGGAAUUGGCAUUGGGGUGGCAGGAAUCUCAACAUCAACACACUUCUAUUACUCCCUAUCUCAAGAGCUAAAUGAAGAUAUGGAAAAGAUAGCUGACUCUCUGGCCACCCUCAGCCCCAAAUCAAUUCACUGACAGCUGUGGUACUCCAAAAUAGAUGAGCUCUGGAUAUAAUAACAGCAGAAAAGGGGGAACAUGCCUCCUAUUAAGGGAAGAGUGUUGUUACUUUGUAAACCAAUCUGGCAUUGUUGGAGACAAAGUAAAGGAGCUCAGGAAGUGCUAAGAAAAAUGUAGACGAGACCUAGACCAACUACAAUCUCUGCUAGGAUACUUUGACCAAUGGCUUCCAUGGCUUCUUCCUUUCCUGGGACCCCUCACCAUCCUCUGCAUAAUCCUGCUUUUCGGAUCCUGUUUCGCUGUUUUCAAAAUUUCUUUCAGGAAUGCAUGCGGGCCUUUACUAACCAGACGGUCAGCGAACUCAUCAUGGCUGGCUACCAGCCCUUCACUACUGAUGCUAGCUCCACCUAAUGGGACCACACCUUGGCCUAAAGCCCCCACCCAACAACACCCCUUUGCCAGCAGGAAGCAGCUACAGAAAAAGAGACCUUCACCCCUAUUCCAGAGUCUGGAAUGAUAGAGUUCUCUAUCAGACAAAAUGGCCCCCAUGGUCCUACAUUCUAAAAUGGCUUCUGUUCCUAAAAUGGUUCCCGAUUAAGGAAAUCAGCUACUUUGGCAAAGUGAAACCUACCCCCUCUGGAGAAGGAAAACCUAACCUGUUGCUCCACCCUGCUACCCAAGUGAUCCUCCCCUUCCAAUCACCCUGCAUCCUUUUGGUCAAUUCUCAAGAUACUCUCCCCACGGCACCGCCCUAUAUAAACCUCACCCCAGUUAGUCUUGCCAUUGUUCAAGGCAGUCUGCAGCUCCUUCCCCCAUAAAGUCUUGCCUUAGUUACUCCUGUUCCGGCUCAUUUUCUUUCAGUCCUAAGUUCGAUCUCCAGUACUGCAAAAAAACCCAAAAAACAAAAAA